UUCUCCCAGCCGCUUCUCCUUCUACUCUCUCAUUCCCUAGUAAAACCUUAUGCAUCUUCUUCUGCUUCACAUCUCUCAUUUUCUUCUCUAAAUCCUCACAAAAUUAGCAAGGACAAGGAAAACUUCAACGUCGCCGAGCCUUCUGCUUCUGAUUACAAUUUUAUGAUUUUGGCUGUUUGGUAACAGAUCUCGUCGGACGGGAUCGAACGGCCGCACAUCACCGUCACCGUCGCCGUCUCGUUCUCACAUACCGUCGAGAACCGUAUUUUUCAUGGGUUUGGGCCAGUUUAUUGUAAAUUUGAUAAUGGGUUUGUAAUUUGUUAUUAUGGGCUUAAUAAUUCUAGUUGUUAAAAUGUUUAUUGGCUCUUAAUUUACUAUGGUUAACCGAAUGAACCGAAAAAAAAAACAAAAUCGGUUCACUUCGGAAUUACUUUUUUAGCCUAUAACCGAACCGAAUAAACCGACUACCGACCGAACCGAACCGAAAUUAUAUUCGGUUCAAUUCGACAGGAUUUGUAGAAAACCGAAAAACCAGAAAACUGAAUAAACCGAACUGUUUAACCCGAUUAAACCGAGUGCCCAGGCCUAGAUAAAACAGAAGAGAUCCACGGACUUGAAGGAAAUUAGAGCAUGAUUAACGGGCAGUAUAUUAGGGAAAUCUUAGGGAAAUCUUAGGGAUAAAACUGAUUAAAUUAAUUGCAUUUACUCUUUUUAAACUAAGGAACGUUCCUUCUGUUUUUUUUUCUCUUUCUCUCUUUCACGAGUGUUGUCGGAGUGUUGUUCUUCUUCCACUGAAAUUCACAAGAUUUCCGAUUAUUUUCAACAAAUCAGAGUGAAGCUUUCCCCAAUCGGUUUGUCAUGGUAAGGGAAACAGUUUCGUUGCAUUGUGGAUUUUUUAAUGCUAAUGGGGGAUUUAGGAUUUUGGAUAAGGAUAAGAGGUUUAUGCAAACAUGUGAAGUUGUAGUCUCGACGUGUGCUUUUGGUGGUGGAGAUAAAAUCUUUAUGAACCUAUUGGAAUGUCUAAGGCAUCAAGUCAAAAGGUUUGCUAUGUUGCGUUUUGGGAUGAAGUUACUCUUGCAACACAAGAAGCAGAGGGGUCAUAAGAUCAAUGAGAAUGAUCACACUGGAAAGUGGCGUAUAGUGAUUGUAAAGGAUAUGCCUUUUACAGACCAAAGGCUUACUUUCUUUUUUCAAGUGAGUUAUUAGAGUUGUUGAAUGUGUAAGAGAGUCGAGCUCUUGUUUGUAAGUUUAGUCUAAUCUCUAGAAGUCUAAGUGUGUGUAGUUAGUAGAAGAGUAACUAACUACUAUAAGAAUGCUAUGUGUGUGAUGUUGUAUAGAGCUCAAAUUCCACACACGAAAGAUACCAUGAUACUAACAAGAAGCAACAAUUCAAAAA